rnacentral:lncRNA from 1 species
AGAUAUUUUGUCCCAAUAGCACGUGCAAAGAGAAAAUUAGUAGAAGGCAUAGUCGCUAGGUGACAUUAUGUUGUUAUGAGGACAGCAUAUUGGCAUAACUGCACUAUGUUAUGGUUAUACCUUGGCAUUAGGAAAAAAUCAGUGGAGAAACAAAGCUGGUUAGGUGACAUUCGAAUUGCAGCAGGCUGCAACAUUGUGAAGAUUUCAC